GGAACAGGGGAUCAGAAACAUGGAGUUACCUGCUCAAGGUCACACAGCUAAUAAAUACUGAAGCCAGAACUUGACUCUGAGCAACACGACCUAGAGCUGUAGGUCUUAUGGGGGCGGGGGGGGGGCGUGUUUUGUUUGUCGUCUUUGACUUUUGCAGUCCUGGGGAUGGAACUCGGGGCCCACGGGUGCUAAGCCAGUGCUCUGACGCUGAGCCACACCCCGGCCUUCUUACUUUUGGCAGCCUUGCUCUGUGCUGAGGCUGGCCUUGAACUUGCAGUGCUCCUGCCUCGGCCUCCUGGGUAACUGUGACUGCAGGUGUGGGCCACGUGCCAGGCCACAGCUUAGAGUCUGUAGCCACGGGGAUGCUCUGGGGAGGGGUGGGGGGAGACGUGUCCCUUCAUUGCUGCCUGUGGGCUGUGGUCGCUCCCCCCAACCUCAGCUCCCGAGGCCCAGGGUGGUGCCCAAGAGCAGGAAGGGGCUCAGAAUGUCCUUGCCACCUGUCUGGCUGGCUUCAGGAGGAACAAGCCCCACACAUUCCUGGCCCACAGAAAGGAGCUGGGAUCGGCCACCCCAGCAGGCCCACAAAUCACUCAUGGGACGAUUUCUCUCAAGAUAAUCCCCUAAGUGGCUGCAGGAAGGGUCCCGCGGGCUGCAGCCCACAGGCUUCUUUAGCCAGCCUGAAAGCAAGACGAGGGUCCCUGCAGCUCUUGGUGACUCCUGGGACAUAGACUGCUCCAGUCCCAGGGGAAGGGGCAAAGAGCUUGCUCUACGUGACACCUGGGCAUUCCGGGGACGCGAUUAGGCUCCUGUUUUGCAGCCUGGCAAGCGCUCUGCGCCUGAGCCACACCCAGUCCUCGUGGGCAUCUUUAACACGGGAAGACGCGGCUGUGUCCCUCCACGUUCCCCAAAGGCUGACCCAGGCUCCCAGCUGGACAGGCCAAGACAGACAGGGGCUGGCCCUGCUCAACCUCCCUGCCCACUGCCGCCCAGCCACAGGGCGUCAUCUCCUGCUGGGACGACUGCAGGAGCCUGCCCACUGUCCCCAGGCCCGCUCCCCUUCAGUCUCCUCCCCUGCUCGCCACCCUCCCCGGACCACCCUGGCUGAGAUCCCGGAGGUGGGGCCGGAGCGUGGGGAGGAAGUGGAGCAGUGCAGAGCCUGGUGGAAGGUGCCGUUGUGCGGUUGCUCUGGAAACCAGCCUGGAAGUUCCUGGGGAGGAAGGCGGCAGCUACCCCAUGACCAAGCUCCUUCCCCAGAAGAACUGAAAACACAUGCUCCUGCAGGAACGCGCACAGAUGACCCGAGCAGUCAACAAGUGGGGUCGCCUGGUGUCCCUGAGCCGGGCCCGGGCCCAUGAGGCGUGCUCGAUGCUCACCCGGGAUAACAGUCUUCUGCCUGAUGAAAGGAACGGGGUCUGUCCGGGCUGCAGUGGGGAGGGUCCUGAGCGCACGCAAGUGACAGGAGCCAGCCACGGUGGCCACGGGCUACGGAUCUCAUCUGUACGGCGCACCCAGAAGGGGAGGCGAGAGGCCAGAGUGCAUUAGUGCCCCUCCCUUUGGUGGGGGCAGGGGAGGGGCGGGGAUCCUUGUCAGGGCUGUGGGGUUUCCUUUCAGAGGCGGUGGGAAUGUUCUGGAACGAGCCGUGGGAGCAUUGGAGCCUCCCAGUGAGCACAGCGAGUGCCACUCCAGUGGGGCUCCCCUGGAAUCCCAGCUGCUCUGGAGGCCGAGGCAGGAGGACCCCAAGCUUCAGUCUGGCCUGGCCAGCUUCGGGAGACCCUGGCUCUCCCGCCACCAGAGGACAUGUCUGGACACCGUGGGUUUUGGUGUGUUUUUAAAUCCAGUUUUCUGUUACAGGUCCCGCAAGAGGGCCUGGCCCACGGUAGAGCUGGGGUUUCCCAGCCCCCUCCCAGCCCCCUGCCCUUCUGCCACUGUGCCCAUGAGGAGGUGGCUCUGUCUGGAGUGUGGCCCCCCGUGCUGGAAGCUUAAUCCCCCAUGACCAUGUUGGGAGGAUGCAGCAGAAAGAUGCUCACAAACGCGGGCCCUCGACUUGGACUUCCAGCCUCCAGAACCGGGAGCCAAAUGACCUUCUGCUCAUCCCAAGUAACCCCGCCAGUGCGACCUGUCACAGCUGCACAAAACAGACCAAGACAGUGACACUCUGUGCCGCCUGGGCCUCAGCCUGGGCCUCGGCCUGGAGCUGGAUUCGCCCUCCUGGAAGCAGCGCUGGGAGUCAGUCCAGGCGAUCUGCUGCAGAGGCCCUGGUGAGAGGCCCCGGAGGUUGGGAGGCCAUGCGGAGACUGAGACGCACACGGCCAGCAGCACCAGCAGCCAGACGAGGGCCAGGCCACACUGGACCCGCAGGGGCAGAUGGCACAGCCGGACACAGCCAGCAGCAGCUACCCACCCAGGCACCUCCAAGUCGCGGGCAUGUGUUAAGCUGAGCGGGUUGAGUCGUUUGCUACCCGCAGUUGGGGAUCAAUACGGUGCUCGAUGCUCGAUGAAUAUUCUUUGCAAGAAAGAAAGGACGGAGGGAGGGAGGGAGGAAAUCAGCAGGAGGAGCAGGACACGCACCCACAGGAGCCACCGCCUGAGGACCGCAGCCCAGAGCUGUCGUCCUGACCGCACCUUCUGUGCUGUGUGGUCUCCACUCCAUCUUUGACCAUCCCCGUGCCUCAGUUUCCCCAUUUGAAAACGGGGGUGGGGGACACUGCUCCGACCCCUCAGGAGGGACCCGGAGGAUGCCAACCAAGCAGCUUCCCAGGGUCACUUGCCAUCCCCCUGAGCCACAAGCCCCACGUCCAUGUCUGUAACGUGGACCCAGCCGGGUCUCCAGACCUGCGUGGACACAGAAGCCAGGCAGGUGACGGUCACCUGUUGGGUCAGGAAGGAGCCAGCCUACGGAUGCCUCUGCCAAUGGCUGGAGUUCCGUGUCCCACCUUUGUCUUACGAAAGGCAGCAGCACAAGCCGACCACGCCUCGGCCGAGGCCCAGCCUCAGGGAGGGAGUGGGAGACCCUUGGCCCCAUCGAAAGAGGCGGCUGCCUGGCACCAGCUGGUGCCAAGGGGAGCUGCAGGCCCGCCCGUCCAGGACAAACGUGGUCCGGACCCUCGUGCAAUGCUCCCAUUGGCAGCCAUCUAAAACCAACCUGGUGGGUCUUUAAGACCCACGAUGGUCAGUAAGACUGCUGGGGGCCAACACGGCCUUCAGACCGGGGCCACGCUGGGCCUUAAGGACACAAAUGUGUAAAGUGUCCAAAGAGGCCAGUCCGCAGAGACCGGGGAGCUGGGUGGGGUCUGGGGUGAGAGCUGAGAGGUCAGGGUCUCCCCUGAGGGGGGAGGAAACAGCUGGGGGCUGUGACCAGGCCAGGCCAUUAAAUGGUCACUUUAGAUGAGUGGCUCCUGUGUGCGUGGGUUGUACCUUAGCAGCGCUAUUUAAACACACACAGAAUCUUCACAGAAACCUCAGCGUCCACUCAACCUGGGCAGAAGCAGCAGCUCUCCUCUGGGUCCGGGAUGAAAGGGGUGAAAUGGGAGUUGAAAGCCCCGGGCUGGGGCACAGAGAGAGCUCCGGCCGCCUCGGUCUGCACUGCACCAGGGAGGACCUGGCCAGGUACAUGAUCGUCCCCUCCUCAAGGAAGAGACACCCGUCCUGGUCCCUCAGGACCCUCGUCCUCGAGGUCUGAGUGUCCAGAGGGGACCGGCCACGCUUCCACACUCAUCCUGACCCCAACUUCCAAGAAGGUAAUUUGGCGACAAUGACUGGGGCCCGGCGGUAGAGGGCUUGCGUCGGGCGUGCGAGCCGUGGGUGGAUCCUCAGCACCACAUAUAAAUAAGUAAAUAGAAUAAGGAUAUUUUUAAAAAAUGCUCACACCCUCCGACGGUCCCCUCCUCCCAGGGUUUAUCCUGAUUUUGCACAAAUGCACAGUGACGGGUUUCAGAUGUUCACAGCAAAAGGCUCCACAGAACCCAAGUGACUGUCAGUGGAAGAACGGUCACCUAAGUAAUAAGUCACACAAAAAAAAUCAGGCAGAGGACCGGGGACGUACCUAGAGGUGGAUCAUUUACCUGGUAGGGGAAGGCCCUGGGUCUGGUCCCCAGCACUGAAACCACAAUGAACACGGGGUAGUUCUCUGUGCACUAGUGUGGAGAGCUCUCCAGCCGCGUUGAGAAGGACGCACAGGGCACAAGGCAGGAGUGGGCAGAGGACGGUGGGGGUGGGGAGGGCCUGAGCAGGGCAGGCCUCUGCAGGCAGGAGCGACGGCCGCUCAGCCGCCACAGUCACGGGCUCUCGGACGGGUCACGUCUGUGGACUUUUUAAAAUUCUUAAAACUUAAUUGCUAAAAACAAUUAAUUCCAAUUUACUUUAAAUGAAGCACAAAGCAGAAUUUCCCCACAGCCACAGUGACUCAAUCCAGGGACCGAGGCCCAUUUGGACGGUGCAGGCAGUAGCUGGGUUUUGCACAACUGUGACGUCCGCAGCUGGCCCGAGGUACACAGGUGCAGAGGGGACACGAGACCCCACGCCUGCACCAGGGCAUCCUGGAGAGUGGAGAACUCCUAACCUCCAGCCCCGAGGGGGCCCGGGGUCGCCUGCUUCCAGAGACGGUGCAGAACCGCGGGCCACGAGCUGGACCCGCUCAGCAAACACCUGUGCCAUGACUGCCACGUGACGAACGUCCCCAGACCGCUCACGGCAGCCCCACCCUUGACAUCUUCUGUGGAUUCCUGGCCCCGUCCUCCCACCCCACCACCAGAUGGCCACGGAGAUGGAGGCGCAGAGAGGCCCCAGCACAGGCCCCAGCCCUGUGCUCCCCCCUCUUGGCCGUCCAGGGCCUGGGCUGAGCACGGUGUCCACACACCCAUGAGACCUUUCCUCCACCCGUCGGCACCAGGCACCGAGGACCCAGGGCAAGCAGGACAGUGGGUCCCGAGGCUGGGCGUGGGGCACUCCUGGACUCUGGCUCAGGUCCCACUGCCACCAACAAGCCCGUGACCCCAGUCAGGUCCAGGCCAGAGCAGGCGGGUGGCCUUAAGCAGGACGACUGUCAGAAUCACCAGGGGAAUGUGGAGAAGUCCGGAUCCCCAGGCUGGGGCCCUGGGAUCACCUGUCCACACCAGCUCCACACAGCAGACACAGUGAUGUCCCACACCAAUUAGACCAGAAUGGUAAGAAUCGAACCCAGUGCCUCACCCUGCCAGGCAGGCGCUCUACCACUGAGCCACGACCCGGCCCCAACGCCUCAGUACUUCUUGUGAAGAUUCCCCAAACAUGACAAUGUCCACAAAGUUUAGGAACCAGGACCUGCCCAGGGCCCUCAGCCACAGCUGGGCCCGCCCCCAGCGGCAGGCUUCACGGAGUCUCCGCUUUACAGGUGCAUCGAGUGUGGAAUCUCUGCCUUCUGCUGGGAUUGCCACAAGGUGGUCGCACAUGCACACACCGAGGUGGGCAGCGUCUCGGGCAGCAAGGUGUCCACUGUGUCCACCGGGGACCAGCCAUGCUCACGGGCACAGGGCUGUUUCCAAUCUUUGGGAAGCUGUUUCUUUCUACCGCUUCUCCCUUGGGACUGAGGGUCACCAGCCAGGAAGAAGGUGUCUUGGGUGGCUAGACCUGCAGGUGUGGAACCUGCGUCUACAGCACGGCCACCGUCUUCCCUUCCAUCUUGACUGUCCGCGCAUCUCCCAGACCAUGACGCCAGUCUUGAGGACGGGCACCAUUGUGUGCCACUGGCUUGCCCAGAACCCAGAACACAGAGGCGGAGCAGGAGGAUCGCGAGUUCAAGGCCAGCCUGAGCAAAAGCCAGGUGCUGAGCAGCUCGUAAGACACCCUGCAGCACUCCUCUGUCCACUCCUGCGUCCUGAAAGGCAGUGCCAAGCUGCUGUGGCCUGCGGCGCCGCCCAGAAGCUCCUGUGUGAGACCGUGAAGGGCGUUUAGAGGUGAAGUUUAGGGUUAGGAGAGCCUUGUCCUAAUCGGUGCGUGGGUCCCCUGACGUGGCUGAUGGGUGGUGACUCUGCAGGUGGAGACAGGUCCCUGGGGUUGGGCCUUUGGGUUUAUGUCUUGUCCCUAGUGGGCAGAGCUCUCUGCUUCCUGAUGGCCCUGUCCUGAGCUGCCUGCCCCCCACGCCCUUCCACCGUGAUGGUUGGCCUCCCUUCCGGCCCAGAGUCAUGGAGUCGUCGGCCGUGGCUGAACCUCGAGAUGCAGGCUGCCGGGUUCUUCCAACGUGGUUCCGCUGCCUGGGAUAGUUUUCUCCUGGAGCCGGCCAACUCCGGUUCAGGCUUCAGGGCUCACCCUAACAUGUCACUGCCUCAGGGAAGCCCUCCAGGACUGCAGGUAGGUGCUACCCUCCUCCUCCCCUCCCGGACCUCAGGCUCCCUGGUCCCUGCACAUCCCGGGGGCUACUGCCCAGACACAGCUUCUCAGAGAGGCCUUGCCCAGCCUCCACUCCAGACACCCAGAGCCGCCCUCCAGCCUGGGGCGUGUCCAGGGCACUCAUCACAACUAAUGGGUGUUAUCUGUCCCUGGCCUGCUGUCUGACGGCCAGGCGCAGGCCCAGGUCUGGCUGCUCUGUCCUCUCCAGCCCAGGCCGACCUGCACAGAGCAGGGCAAGCCCCAAUUCACCAAGGAAGCUGAACAUCCGUGGGGCUGGCACCGGCUGGAUUCAGGCGCCACUUCCUGUAAGAGCCAACAGGACGUGGGGAAAGGGCUGCGGGAGGGCCACCGCUGCUCAGGCCCUUCCCAAUGCACACGUCCCUUUCCGGGCUCAUCUGCCAGCUGCAGCUCAGGGGCCUGUAGUGAAUCACCGCUAAGGAGAGCCUGGCGCAGCUUCUUUUGCAACAACAAAAAUCUUUUAAAAAGAAAAGAAAUAAGAACCCUGGAGCCAGGGGAAACUGCGGACACCUGUCCCCAUGCCGCCAGACCAAGAUGUGAUAGGGGACUGGGCCUCCUCCAGGGUCCAGCUUUGAGCCACUUACAGAUGUUCGUAAAUCCUGGAUCCACACGCCGACACGCACUCACCGAAAGCCUCCGUUCCUGAGCUAUGAAAUCUGCAUGAGAACUUCACGGCCACUAGGUCAGUCCCUGUGCAAGGGCACAACCUACAAGCUGAGCAGCACACUGCUGGCGCGUAGUAGGUACUCACAGAAACAAUGCUUAUUUCAUGGUGGGAUGCUAAGUCAAAUAAUGAUGUAGACUCUCUAAUGCAGAAGCCAUCCACCCCAAGGGACCACCGAGCAUUUAAAAUGUGGCUGGCCCAGAGACAGGCUUUAAAACGCCUGAUUUGAAAAAUAAAUAAAUAAAAUUUUUUAAAAAAUUAAAAA